AAAUCCACAGUGUGCCUGGAACCCUGGGCUCAUGUCAGAGAGCCAGACAUGCAGCAAGCCCUAAGGGCUCACCCACAAACCCAAGAGUUUGUCUGGGAUAACUUUAAACCACUUAGCCUGGGUUUUAUUCCCUGCAUUGAGAGCCAUCAUCCCAAGGGGAUAAUUUGGAGCUCCCUCAGGUGUAACACCACAUUAAGAAAGCGCUUAGGAGGAGUUUUUCAAGGUCGGACAAAGGUGAUCAAACAAGAGAGUGGCACUUCUCAGUCAGAGUGGGAAUGAUUGAUCUUCCCAUCAGAUUUUAGAGCUGCACCGCUUGACAUCGUGUCCUUUCAUGUCCUGAUCAAAGAAGCUCAUGGCACGCCCAAGGUAUUCUCCAGAGUGCCUUCACUGAAGAAUUCCAAGGUCAACUGAAGGAAAAUGUGGCAUCUUCUUCCCUGGCAACCUCUGGCCCUGGUGGUUCCACAUCGGCUGCUUCAGGAGCUGCACGUACUCAAAAUAAAAAGGCUGACACUGGCACAAA